GAUGAAGAACGCAGCGAAAUGCGAUAAGUAAUGUGAAUUGCAGAAUUCAGUGAAUCAUCGAGUCUUUGAACGCACAUUGCGCCCCCUGGUAUUCCGGGGGGCAUGCCUGUCCGAGCGUCAUUGCCGCCCUCAAGCACGGCUUGUGUGUUGGGCCCCCGCCCCCCGGCUUCGGGGGGCGGGCCCGGAAGGCAGCGGCGGCACCGCGUCCGGUCCUCGAGCGUAUGGGGCUUCGUCACCCGCUCUGUAGGCCCGGCCGGCGCCCGCCGGCGACCCCAAUCAAUCUUUCCAGGUUGACCUCGGAUCAGGUAGGGAUACCCGCUGAACUUAAGCAUAUCAAUAAGCGGAGGA
rnacentral:misc_RNA from 1 species